GAUGAAGAACGUAGCGAAAUGCGAUACGUAAUGUGAAUUGCAGAAUUCAGUGAAUCAUCGAAUCUUUGAACGCACAUUGCGCCUGCCAGCACUCUGGCAGGCAUGCCUGUUCGAGCGUCAUUUCAACCAUCAAGCCCUAGGCUUGCGUUGGAGCCCUGCGGCUGCCGCAGGCCCCUAAAAGCAGUGGCGGGCUCGCUAUCACCGAGUGCAGUAGAUUACUCUUCGCUCAGGGCGUGUGGCGGGUUCCAGCCGUGAAACCCCCUACUUCUCAAGGUUGACCUCGGAUCAGGUAGGAAUACCCGCUGAACUUAAGCAUAUCAAUAAGCGGAGGA
rnacentral:misc_RNA from 1 species